rnacentral:rRNA from 1 species
UACGUAGGUCCCGAGCGUUGUCCGGACUUAUUGGGCGUAAAGCGAGCGCAGGUGGUUUAUUAAGUCUGGUGUAAAAGGCAGUGGCUCAACCAUUGUAUGCAUUGGAAACUGGUAGACUUGAGUGCAGGAGAGGAGAGUGGAAUUCCAUGUGUAGCGGUGAAAUGCGUAGAUAUAUGGAGGAACACCGGUGGCGAAAGCGGCUCUCUGGCCUGUAACUGAGACUGAGGCUCGAAAGCGUGGGGAGCAAACAGG